GCAGUGCUGGGGGUGCCCCGCACAGACCCCGCUCCGCGCGCAGUGUCGCGUACAAACCCGCCCCUCCCGAGUGCAUUGCGCAGUGCUGGGGGUGCCCCGCACAGACCCCACGCUGCCUUGCAGACCUGCCCCUCCCGAGUGCCUUUUGCAAAUGGUUGUGCUGCCUGAUUGGGCAGAGGAGCCAGCAGCCUGGUACUUGAGCCCAGCAGUGGCAGCAGUACAGUGAUGGCUCAUUGUAUAUCACACCCAUAGCUGUACUUGCCCUACUCCAGCUCUUUACUCCUGGAUGUGUCAGUGUAGUCACUGUCUUCCUAGCUCUGAUGCUUUGCUUGGUUCUUUGACUCUGGCUUUACUGGGGGAUCAGUACCUGGAUCUACACUUGCCAUUGCUCUGAACUGCUGCUACAACCAUUAGACAAGGUCUUGCUCCACCCAGGAGGUAGGCUGCCUAGGCUCCAGGAGCUUGUAGUAAGUUGGUAGCAUGUGUAUAGGACCUUUUGAGUUUUUUAUAGUUUCCCUGUAGUACUUUCAAAUUAAUCUCCUUGCUUAGAAAGAGCUGUGUGGUAAUGUAUAACUGCUAUAAAUUAGAGCUGCUCAUCUUUGGAGACUUCAGAAUGCAGACACUAGGCUAUCUAGGGAUUUCCUAGGGUAGGCAGGGAACUGUACAGCCUGGAAAUAUCCUACUCAGGAGAGAAUGAGCGAUGGGCCUCCAGCCAAGAGGUGAGAGCUGAGGAGCUGGGAGCCUGGGAGGGUACAGAGCAGGAAUACAGGUGCAGUUGCUCUGAAUGGUGACAAGGCUCCCUUAGGGGAAUAGAGCUGGAGGAACCCCCUGAGACUUGGCUGUGUUGAUAAAGGAUUUGUUGUUGCUACAGUGCAAUAUUUCUUUACCCUUAUCUAGCACUAGGCCUCUUCAGAGUGCUUUAAAUGCAUGCCCUUAAUUGUAAUCACUAUGUGGGCAGUGGAGUAAACACAGGGCUACAGUCUGGCCUCAUCUAUACCCAGGUGAUCCCAUUGAAGUCUGCCUGUCUAAUCAUCUGCAUCCAACCGCUUCUGCUGUACAAACACUGGGGGAUGUAGUGGGGUUGCACGGAUGUAACAAGCCAGAUUUUCUUUGUUUCUAAAGGGCUUGGUUACAAUGGACUUGAUAUUUCUCCAUGUGACCGGGUCCUGCUUGAAACUAUUGCAGCUAGUGACUCUCCCUGUAUGAUAGGAGGUGUCCACAUUGGUGUGUCCUGCUGUAACAGAUUCCCACUCAUCUGCCACAAAGACCAGUCAUAAUUGACCAUCUUUCUAAUGGUCGUGCCAGGCUAGAUCAUCCCCUCACUUCCCCGAGCAGAGGGAUAGUUUCCCCAUUCCACCCCUCCUGAACAACUUCUGGCUGCCUCCCAACCUGCUGUACCAAAGGGCUAAAGGAAUUUCCUCUGGGGUUUUCUUUACAUUUCCCUGCAGGCUCUCUUUGCCCUAGCAACAGCCCUGUUAAUGGGGGGCCCUGAGAACAGGGAAAACUGACGAUGGGGUGAUGGCUCAGGGAGAGCAGGCCUUAGUCUCACCUAGGCUGAGACUCUUCAUGCUGCCUGUGGUGGGCGGAGGGGAGGCUAAAAGUAGGAAAGGGAAGGAGGUGGAUGAAGCUGCAGCUAACAGCUGAUAUUCAUGUUCAGAAUGACUUGUAACCUCCAAGAUCUGCAGGGACCACUGUAAUCAUCUAAUCUGACCUAGUGUGUGAACUGCCCCCCAAUAAUUUUUGAACCAGAGCCUAUUUCACCCCAAAAACUAUCUUGAUUUUUAAAAAGCUGUCAGAGAUGGUGAAUCCACCUGGGGCCUUGGGAAUGAAUUGUUCCAAUGGGGGUUAACCCAUGCUGUUACAAACACAUGCCUUGUUUUCAGUCUGAAUGUGUCUGGCUUCAACUGCCAGCCAUUGGCUCAUGCUAGCCCUCGGUCGGCGGGGAGAGAGGUAUGGUACAGUGGGGUUUCAGCCAUUUUCCUGGGGUUGCCUGCCAGUGAGUCCAGCAGCACUGACUGCCCUGAUGAUCAACUUCAUGUAUCUUAAGGUACUUGAGGCCCUAACUGGAAAAAGAUGAGGCCAAGCCUGCUUUUAAGGGACUGGUGCCCCCCAGGUCCUAGGCUAGGGUUUUGCAGCAGUUGCUCUGAUGUCAGGAGACAGUGCAGCUCCCAGAGGGAGGCAAAGGAGCCAGCAGGGGCCGCCAGGCAGGUUCCUAGUUCCCAGCGGGCGCAAUGCCCCGCUGUGCCCGGCCAGCCCCAGGGCACGUGGGGAAGGGUCGCGUCCCCGCUCCCCCCGCAACCCGGCCUGGGGAGUCCAGCGCCGUGUGCGGCCCGGCGCCUCUCCCCGCACACGCGCCGCUGCGCACGGGCCCGGGAGCGCCCGAGUCAUGCAGGGCCGCCGGGCCCUGGCUUUGCGCACAGACCUGCAGACCCGCUGCUGGGGCUCAGGCCGCAGCUUCCGCCCCGGGACACGUCGGGCAGGGGAGCGAUCGCCGCAGGAGGCUCCUCCUUCCGUGCCCUGGGUGGGGCGGGCUAAGCCUGAAAGGAGGGGCACUGCCUGGGGGUGCACACAGCGCCUUGGUCGGUCUGUGCGGACACAGCACCGAGCAAUGCAUGGGGGUACGAGGGGGAUUGCACAGAACAUCGUGCAAUAGAUUGGGAGGUUGCACACAGAGCCCUGGUUGGUCUGUGCUGACACAGCACCCUCGUGCAAUGCACUCGGUGUGUUUCGAGGACCGUGUGCAGGGCUCGCGGAGAUUUUGCGCUCGCCCCUCCGCUGGGGUAAAUAGGAGGCAGCGGUAGCUGCUGAGCCAAACUCUCCUCUGAUCCCUGAGUCUCCCUCUGACUGAGCAGCUUGAAGGAGCCAAGCUAGCGAUGGAUCCCCAGGACUGUCCUUGUGCUACCGGUGAGUGACUCCUCCCCGCUGCCGGGCUGCACAAACCCUGCUCCAAGCUGCCAUGGGGGGGAGGCGCAGAGGGGUUUUUCUUAGACUGGUUGGGGAGGCCACUUCUCAGUCUGUGCCAGGACUAAGCCCCAGCACCUCUAGGCUUGGCAGUUCAUAGUCCUGGCAUCUGUGAUCUUGCUGCAUCAGUUAUGGAUGUAAAACAAUUGCUUGAGCCCUUGCACCUGUUGCAUUACAAAUUAAACACUGGGCAGGGCCUCUGUUUUUUCCCUCACUGGGAAACUGCCACCGGCAUUGCAUGCAAUCAGCAUGGGCAGGGGAAAGAAUCUCUAGCUCUUGGAGUGACUCUGGCUUUUCCAUCUGGGCUAUGAAAUAGAUCAUGGAAACCAAACUCCCAGACUUAAAUGUCCCCUGGUCUUACCCUGGCAAGGCGAGCUCUAUUUAAAUAUCCCAUAAGUGGGCCGAGUAUGUCUUAAAAUACCCUUUUUUCACAAAGUGAGAAGAUUCUUCAGGUGGCACGUGUGGCUGUACUGGUAGUUGCAAAUGCAAAAAUUGUAAAUGUGGAUCUUGCAAAAAAAGUGAGCUGCUGCUCCUGUUGCCCAGCUGGAUGCAAUAAUUGUGCCAAGGGCUGUGUCUGCAAAGAGCCAGCA